GUUGCUUCUAACUGAAUAAAUGGCCCAGUUUUCUAUCUCUUCAUUUGCAGUGGGAAGCAUAUAUGAAAUGCCAGUAUUAAACAACAUGAUGCUCCUAUUGCAUCUUGUUACCUGUCUCCUGGUAAACUA